CCCUAUCUACUGCUCUGGUAAGUCACUCUUCUUUGUCGUUCCUCACUCCUUUCCGCUGCGGUGAGUUCGAUCGGCCGGCGUGAGCAAUUCGCCCUGUUGAUCGGAGACUCGUCGAGCCUCGAUCAGCAAGACGGCGACAACCAUUUCGACCUUCAUCUUCUACAUCAUCUCCCCACGCCACGGCGUGAAGGCGUCGACUGCCACCACGUCCUCCACAUUCGACAUCGUCGCUGGGCAGAGUAAAUUGGUUCUCUUUUGACUUCAGAGUGGUAAACAUUUACCCUCCACUGGUUUUCUUCCUCUUCGUGGACGCUAGGUUACUUCAUGAUAUUGAUCGUUCCUUUCGUUUAUGGGAAAAAGGCAAGCCUUUUCUUUAGGAUGUGCACGUGAGCCCAAUUUAUUGCACAAUCUAACUCAUUUAGCAAUCAAUUCUAACUUGUUAUGUUUGCUAGAGAUCUGGAUGUACUAGAUUGUAGCGUAAAGAACGUUAAGUUGUGCUAGUGCAGUGAGAUUACCAUUUAUUAUUCAUUGUACUAAAAGAGCAAUAGGAUAUAUUCUGCAGCGUGUGUUGGGGUUAGGGUUACUUUAGCACCUUUUGUUGGUAUCUGCACUAUUCAAUGAUCACCCGUAGGAUUAUUUCCAACAGGAGAGAUUUUCAAAUCAAUAUGAAGUAAUUCACUCAACACAAGAAAUAGAAGAAUCACACAAAGCAAAAAAUGAAUAUAAAUGAACUGAUAUAAGAAGUUUUAGUUUUUUUUUGAAAAAUGAACAGAAUGUUUAUAUUAAAGAAUGGAUAAAAAAUAACUGAUAAGAAUUUUUCUUUUUGUUUAGUAAACUGAAUUCCACAAAAUGUCAUCUACUCAGAAAUCACACACACAAAAAAUCUGAAUCUCAUAGCAGAAAAAAAAAAUGGCCUUAAGAAAUGAUAACCAUUUUAAAUAUAAAGAAAGUCAUAGCCAUAUUAUGUAGAACGAUUGUCUGAAUUGAAAUUUUUUUCUUCUGAUUUUUUAUUUUCUUCAUCUCGUUAAAAAUGACCUUUUGGACGAGGUUUACAAACAAAAGGGAUGAUCGAGAUGCACGAGGCAGAAAAAUUAUGUCAUUGAAUGCUUCAAUGCAAUAAAGGUGAACUGAAUAUUGAUUUGUAAAGAUUUUGAACACUGUAAGCAGGAACAUCAACAGAAAAUGACAUCCUUCUCACAUUCAUGGCUUUUUCAAGCAGAUCAGUUUGUCAGGAGGUUGAGAUCUGAUGAUUGUGGUGUGUACGGGAAACUAUGUCGUAGAAAGUUCCACGUAUAUCAAAAACAAUUUGUGGGGGUAUGCACUUCAAGUAAGCAAAGUGUUUACAUUGGAUCAAAUCGAGGCCUUCAGAAACAGGGCAAAACCUUUUAUACAGUUAACUGUACCAAGGAGAGGGAUUUUGACCCUUCAUCAAUUGAACCACCUCCAUACUCUAGUUACAUGGAUUCAACUUCUGGUCAGCUUGAACCAGCAUCUGGUGCUAGAGCAAGUAUACCUGGAAGAGAGUAUUGGCCUGAAGGAACAGCUAGUCGGGUUGCUGCUGCCAGAGCUCCUGAGCCUGUUGGCAAGUCUGAUGGGAAACCUUCAUAUGGUAGAAGUCCUGGAAGCCGGAGGAGGAAGUACAAGGGGCAGGCAACUACUUCUGAAGUUACAGAAACUAAUGGAGAUAUGAGCAACCAACCUGUUCUUGUUACUUCAGAAUCAGAUGAUAACGCUGAUGGGCCUAUAGACCCAUCUGAUGAAUAUGUUAUAUAUCAGACAGAACCUGAACCUGAGGAAGAGAACAUGAGCCAAUAUGAGUUAGACAAAGCAAUGGGGCGGCCACAUCCAUUCAUAGAUCCAGCUAUUAAUAAGCCCAUAGAAGAGCCUCAUUCAAGUGAAGAUCUUUGGUGGAAUUGGCGCAAACCAGAAAAGGAGCAGUGGUCAAGAUGGCAAAGGCGGCGCCCAGAUGUUGACACGGUUUUUGCAAAGGCAAUGGCAGAAACUGGACAAAUAAAAUUGUUUGGUGACUACCCAACAAAAACUGAAGCUGCUCUUGCAAGAGCAAGAAGACAUAUCUUCAAGGAGGAAAGGCUUCAGGAAGAGCAGAGGAGAUUGGAGGAGGUUGGGCCAAUAGCAUAUUAUUCAGAGUGGGUCAAAUCAUGGGAUCGGGAUACUUCGCGAGAGGCUAUACAGAGACACUAUGAAGAAACUGGCGAGGAUGAGUUCACUCAACUCAUAACAAUGUUUGAACAUCAAACUGCUGAGGAGUACCGCAUCAUGAUGGGAACCGACAUACGAAUUAAGCGGGAUCCUUUAGCAAUGCGAAUGCGGGAGGAUCUAAUCAAAGAGAUAUGGGGUGGUGAUCCUGUUUAUCCAACCAUCAAUUAUAUUCAAGACCCUAAUGAAGUAAUUGAUUUUAGGGGGCCAGAUUUUCAUGAACCUACACCAAAUAUGUUGUCUUAUCUGAUGGAGCAUGGCAAAAUCAUAUCAAGGGAAGAUCUUGAGAAAAUUUUGGCGAAUGAGAAACAACAAGAGCUAGAGAUCACUGACAUGGAUGAAGCUUUGGCAAGUGCUGUUGACAUUGGGGAUGAUGAUGAUGAUGAUGAUGAUGAUGACGACGACGACGAUGAAGAAAGUGAGGGAGAAGAAGACAAAGAAGAUGAUGAAGUCGAGGAGGAAAUUACACGCAACUGGAGUGUUCUGAAGUCUACCCCUCAGCUACGUAAAUCCAAGGUGAAAUACCGGUAGAGAGGAAUUUGAAUUCCUCUUCUCAAACGAGAUUUAUCUCCAAAUCUCUACCAAACUCGGGAGAUGAGUUACCAUAGUAGGGGAUUGGAGAUUUUAUCUUGAUUUGCCCAUGAGCUUGGAAGGAUCUCGGGAGUGGUCAGCGAACACUCAAGAAUGUCGUAAGUAGGUGGUGUUAAGGUAAGGUUUGCGCGAGGGGUGUUGAGGUAGGGUUCAGCUGGCAAUGUCAUGGCGAAUGGAGCUAACCUUGUAGGAGACAAGGAUACCCUCAUCUGUUUUACACUCUUGUAUGCUCUCUCCCUUCAGGCAUGGUCAAUAAAGAUGAGGCAAACGAAUUACUCUGAAACUCUCUUCCCCCAUCCUCUCUUCUCUUCCACCUUGCAUGGAUAAACAUGUUCUAAAGCCUCUGGACAUAAAAGGAGAAGCUUUGCAAUAGAUUAGAUAAUGGCAUGGUUUCUUCUUAGGUUUUGCUCAAAGAUUUCAUUUUCUUCUUAGUUUUUUUUUCCCUUGUAACUUAUUAUUCUUUUUUUUUUCUGAUUACCAAAGAAGGAAAAGCCAAA